rnacentral:rRNA from 1 species
UCGUACGCUUCUUUUUCCACCGGAGCUUGCUCCACCGGAAAAAGAAGAGUGGCGAACGGGUGAGUAACACGUGGGUAACCUGCCCAUCAGAAGGGGAUAACACUUGGAAACAGGUGCUAAUACCGUAUAACAAUCGAAACCGCAUGGUUUUGAUUUGAAAGGCGCUUUCGGGUGUCGCUGAUGGAUGGACCCGCGGUGCAUUAGCUAGUUGGUGAGGUAACGGCUCACCAAGGCCACGAUGCAUAGCCGACCUGAGAGGGUGAUCGGCCACAUUGGGACUGAGACACGGCCCAAACUCCUACGGGAGGCAGCAGUAGGGAAUCUUCGGCAAUGGACGAAAGUCUGACCGAGCAACGCCGCGUGAGUGAAGAAGGUUUUCGGAUCGUAAAACUCUGUUGUUAGAGAAGAACAAGGAUGAGAGUAACUGUUCAUCCCUUGACGGUAUCUAACCAGAAAGCCACGGCUAACUACGUGCCAGCAGCCGCGGUAAUACGUAGGUGGCAAGCGUUGUCCGGAUUUAUUGGGCGUAAAGCGAGCGCAGGCGGUUUCUUAAGUCUGAUGUGAAAGCCCCCGGCUCAACCGGGGAGGGUCAUUGGAAACUGGGAGACUUGAGUGCAGAAGAGGAGAGUGGAAUUCCAUGUGUAGCGGUGAAAUGCGUAGA